ACACGGGAAAAGUUGUCAUCCA
rnacentral:siRNA from 1 species